rnacentral:rRNA from 1 species
GUAGUCUCGCACAGAUGCAUAUCAAUAAGCGGAGGAAAAGAAACUAACAAGGAUUCCCCUAGUAACGGCGAGUGAAGCGGGAAGAGCUCAAAUUUGAAAUCUUAAAGGGUUUCCCUUUACGAAUUGUAGUUUAAAGAAGUGUUUUCCUGUUGAGGUUUUGGUAAAAGUUCUUUGGAAUAGGACAUCAUAGAGGGUGAGAAUCCCGUAUUUGACCUUUACUUUCAACUUUGUGAUACACUUUCAAAGAGUCGGAUUGUUUGGGAAUGCAGUCCAAAAUGGGUGGUAAAUUUCAUCUAAAGCUAAAUAUUGGCGAGAGACCGAUAGCGAACAAGUACCGUGAGGGAAAGAUGAAAAGAACUUUGAAAAGAGAGUUAAACAGUACGUGAAAUUGUCAAAAGGGAAGCGUUUGACACCAGUGUUGUUUUUCUGAAAAUCAAUUAAAGAACUGUUUAUGCUAAGUUGUUUAGACUUUAUCAGCUAACUGUUUAGUUUUGAGCUUUUCUUUAAUGCACUUUUCAGUUAACAAGUCAACAUCAAUUUCUUUUGCUGUAAAAAAGCUUGAGGAAGGUGGCUUGAGAUUCGUCUUAAGUGUUUAUAGCCUCUUGCCUACUGCAGUCGGAGAGAUUGAGGUCUGCAGCGUAGAUCCUUCGGGGCUAAAUGCAUUUGUGCUAAGUUAUAGCAUUUUAUAGACAACUUGUUGACUAUGAUUUGUCUUGUAGCUUACUCGCUUAUGUUAUUUUACCUACGCUUAGGAUGUUGAUCUGUAGUGCGUGCGC